rnacentral:rRNA from 1 species
GAUGAACGCUGGCGGCGUGCCUAAUACAUGCAAGUCGAGCGAACAGAUAAGGAGCUUGCUCCUUUGACGUUAGCGGCGGACGGGUGAGUAACACGUGGGUAACCUACCUAUAAGACUGGGAUAACUUCGGGAAACCGGAGCUAAUACCGGAUAACAUUUGGAACCGCAUGGUUCUAAAGUGAAAGAUGGUUUUGCUAUCACUUAUAGAUGGACCCGCGCCGUAUUAGCUAGUUGGUAAGGUAACGGCUUACCAAGGCGACGAUACGUAGCCGUCCUGAGAGGGUGAUCGGCCACACUGGAACUGAGACACGGUCCAGACUCCUACGGGAGGCAGCAGUAGGGAAUCUUCCGCAAUGGGCGAAAGCCUGACGGAGCAACGCCGCGUGAGUGAUGAAGGGUUUCGGCUCGUAAAACUCUGUUAUUAGGGAAGAACAAAUGUGUAAGUAACUGUGCACGUCUUGACGGUACCUAAUCAGAAAGCCACGGCUAACUACGUG